GGUGGAUGUUUAGGUGUAGUUGACUAUAUAUGUAUUGUUUUUCUUAUUGAAAAAUUGAGCUAAAUGAGCUGAAGCCAUAGCUCCCUUGCUGCACAUUUGUGAGCAAGUACAAAGUAGAUUGUGAAGGAAAUUGGGGGGCAACUGAAUAUUUGAAUAGAGUAACAAAAAGGUUCUGCUUUGGAGUUCAUAAAAAUAUCCAGAGGAGGACAUGGAUCAGUGAUGGACAUCAUUCAGCUUCAUUGUUUAGUUUCUGGCAUUGGUGCUCAUGACAUAGGCAGAGGGAACGAAGACAAAAUAAAGAGUGUAGAGGGACUAAAUGGCAGAUCUUUGGAAAGGCCAUUAUACAGAAAACGAGGAACAAAUAUGCCUUAUGGUUUUUGGAGCUUUACAGGAAACAUGUGCUCUUGGCAAUUUAACCUUCCUGGAUAGAAUUGGCAGAGAUUGCUUUUUCCCUUAACUUGUGGAAUGGACACAUGAAGUUGGAGGUUAUUUUCAAUGGCAACUUUGGACAGUAUUCGUUCUCCUGCUAGAUUGGUGAGCUAUUUUGUUUGAAGUGGAGAAUUGAUUUCAUGGGAGACCAAUUGGCGUUGAGAGCAGGGUGAAAGAGAUAUUGUGUCGGCUUGAAUUUCUUCUAUUGAAUGCUUGCUUUAUAUUUUUGGUUGAAGUGAGAUAUUGAGGCAGAACUUCCAUUUAAUUCAGAAUUGUUAGAGGUAAAUUUAAUUUAAUUCAAUCGAGUUGUUGAUGAUAAUUCGAUUUGGUUAUGUUUUUUUUUUUUUUUUUUUAGAGUUCAAUUCUUACUCACUUAUGGAACAGGAGAGAAUCAAUUUUCUUUUCCUUUUUAGUUUUGCUUAUAGUAAUAUAAAGAAGAGCGUGCAUAUUAGUGUUUGCAAGCUAUUUUAGUUCUAUUAAAAU